UACGUAGGGGGCAAGCGUUGUCCGGAUUUAUUGGGCGUAAAGCGCGCGCAGGUGGUCCUGAAAGUCGAGCGUGAAAGCUCCCGGCCCAACUGGGAGAGGCCGUUCGAAACUUCAGGACUUGAAGGCGGGAGAGGCAAAUGGAAUUUCCGGUGUAGCGGUAAAAUGCGUAGAUACCGGAAGGAACACCAGUGGCGAAAGCGAUUUGCUGGCCCGCCCUUGACACUCAGGCGCGAAAGCUAGGGGAGCGACCGGG
rnacentral:rRNA from 1 species